rnacentral:sRNA from 1 species
AAGGAUCACGCGUACACGCCAUUUCAUUCGCGCCGCCCGCAUCCACCUGACGGCUACUCGCUACGUUGUGAGAGCC